rnacentral:rRNA from 1 species
UACAGAGGUCUCAAGCGUUGUUCGGAUUCAUUGGGCGUAAAGGGCGCGUAGGCGGCGGGGUAAGUCGGGUGUGAAAUCUCAGAGCUCAACUCUGAAAUGGCACUUGAUACUGCUCUGCUAGAGGACUGGAGAGGAGAUUGGAAUUCACGGUGUAGCAGUGAAAUGCGUAGAUAUCGUGAGGAAGACCGGUGGCGAAGGCGGAUCUCUGGACAGUUCCUGACGCUGAGGCGCGAAAGCCAGGGGAGCGAACGGG